rnacentral:misc_RNA from 1 species
GGAAGAACCACUUGUUGCUCGCUUGAAGGCUCGAAUGCAAGAGAUGAAGGAAAAGGAACAUAGGCACUUGGGGAAUGGUGAUGCGAAUUCACAUGUGUGUAAAGUGUGUUUUGAAUCACCCACUACUGCAAUGCUUCUACCAUGCCGCCAUUUUUGCUUGUGCAAGUCAUGUUCCCUAGCCUGCUUCGAGUGUCCCAUAUGCCGGACAAAAAUUGUGGAUAGGAUUUUUGCGUUUACUUAAACAUUGUUUUUC